GCGGAGAUCGCAUAGCCUGGUAUCGCGGUGGACUUGAAAUCCACUGUCCCUCGGACACGGGAGUUCGAAUCUCUCUCUCCGCGC
rnacentral:tRNA from 1 species